rnacentral:rRNA from 1 species
ACGAGUUUGAUCAUGGCUCAGAUUGAACGCUGGCGGCAGGCCUAACACAUGCAAGUCGAGCGGUAGAGAGGUGCUUGCAUCUCUUGAGGAGCGGCGGACGGGUGAGUAAUGCCUAGGAAUCUGCCUAGUGGUGGGGGAUAACGUUCGGAAACGGACGCUAAUACCGCAUAAUGUCUACGGACCAAAGUGUGGGACCUUCGGGCCACAUGCUAUCGGAUGCGCCUACGUGGGAUUAGCUAGUUGGUGAGGUAAUGGCUCACCAAGGCGACGAUCUCUAGCUGGUUUGAGAGGAUGAUCAGCCACACUGGAACUGAGACACGGUCCAGACUCCUACGGGAGGCAGCAGUGGGGGAAUAUUGGACAAUGGGCGCAAGCCUGAUCCAGCCAUGCCGCGUGUGUGAAGAAGGCCUUCGGGUUGUAAAGCUCUUUUACUCGGGACGAUAAUGACGGUACCGAGAGAAUAAGCCCCGGCUAACUCCGUG